AGGGAAGAGUAGAGAAGAGGAAAAGAGAAGAAAGAAGUAGAGGGAAAGAAGGAAGAAAGGCUUGGAGGAGAAAAGGAAAAGCUCAUCAUCACCAUUUUCUACUCAUCAUCCUCACCAACUUCAUCUUAUUCUUCUACUAGGUGAGUUUUUAGAUAGAUUUAGCCUUUGGUGGAAAAUAACCUAUGUUUGGGGGUUAGGAUUUGUGUGAAUUUGUUAUGAACUUGUUGUGUUCAUAUUCCUCAUCCAUGCUAUAUGUUGAUAUCAUGUUGUUGUUGUUUAAAUUGUGAUACUUGGGUGUUUAAUUUUGAUGUGUUUAAUUUUGAUGUGUUUUAUUGUUGAAGAUAUGGAGGUUAAUCACAUGAAAUCAUAACAAUAUAAGUUAUUCAUGAAAUAUUCCCAUGAAUCAUGAGUUAACCAUGUUUUCUAUGAUUAUGGUGUUGUUGAAAUUGAACAUGGUUGUUGAGGUUGUUAAGAACAUGUGUUUAUGAGGUUGAGGAUUCCUUGAGUGUUGGUUGCUGAUGGUUUAAUUCUAUCUACUUUUUCAAAAGACAUUCUAAAGGCGGAAUUGAAUGCAGUACACUCAGAAUUUUAAGAAAGACAAAAUGAUUCGGCAUAUAUUCUUAAUCAAUUUAGAUGCCACUCAUCAAAACAAGGCCACCAAUAUAACAAAGUGUUUUUAAUAGGAAACAAAGAGAGUUUGGGGGUGGAGGGGGAAGUCGGUUAUGAUGAUCUUUACGACCAAGUCUUUGAGUUCUACCGUAGUAAAUACUGCGGAAAGGUGAUGAAGUUAGUAGUUAUAGGAGGAGGUAGUUUUAAAUACUAAAUCUAUUAAAGUUUCAUUCUUACCAAUUCAUCACGUUGUAUAUUUAAAAUUAUCAUAUUUAGUACAUAAUGAACAUAUAUAUUGUCCUUACUAAGCUUCUUGUAUACAGAGCCUAUUCAAAUUCUUCAAGGUUGGGUUGAAAGUUUUUUCAACUCUAUUAAAAAGUGUGACGUGAAAAAGUUUCGAAAACAAGUAUAUCCAACUGGGUUUCAAUGGUACCUCUAUCCCAUUCGGGUUCGACAGUGAGUUCAGGCAAAACAUAGAAAAAGAAUGCUUCCAAAAAAGCAUUCUAUUUGGAAAUUCGGUAUUUUAUACGAUUUAAAUGAUCCCACCGGUGAUGAUAUACUGAUAGUUUCAUGGACUUUGCCUUGUCUAUACGAGGUGUAUCAAUAUCACCCAGAGAUAUAUGGUUGUAAAAAAAUAGGAUUUUUUUUGUGAUUGAGAAUGUAGGUUAAGUUUUGAUAUUGACAUAUUAAAAUUUAUAAUUUUUUUUAAAUUAUCAAUUUGAUGAUUUUUUUUGAACCGUACGGUUUUAUAAAAAUCGGCUCCGACUAUUUGGUUCGAAUGGUUUUGGAAGGUUCAAUCCGUUUUUUUUUUGUUUUACUCCGAUUUUGACCCAUUAACGAUUUUGAAAGGUUGACCAAACCAGAUUUAUCUCCGGUUCCUGGUCUAACCGGUUGAACCGGCUGAUUCGGUCUGGUUUUUAAAACACUGUCUAAAGGGAAAAUUUGAAUUUAAAAAUAAAAUAAAAGAUGUUUAAAUGCAUCUUUUUAAUAAUUUAAAAUAUUUUUCUUAUAUUUUUUUGUCUAUCACUCGUUGCUUAUCCCCUUUGAUUUUUCGUUUUUUCUUCUGUAAUAUCCCAUAUUCCCUUAGAUUCUCAAUUAGUUGUCAGGUGAGAUCAAUUGAGUUCCGGUGUACUCUAUCUUUUGUUAGUUGUAUCAAUUGGAGCUCUUAUGUGCUCUAAAUGUUGUCAAUUGGGACCAAUAGAGUAAGCAGUGAACUCUGAAGAUGUUAAUUAUUAAUAAAAGAGACAAAUCAAUAUUAAUAAGUACAAGAGAGGACAUUUUUGGUAGCAUUAAUAAUUGGUCAAUUGGUACUGAAAGAUGAAAUAUCAAUUGAGAUAUUUUAUGUUACUACCUAAUAUUAUAAUAUAUAUAUAAAGUAUAUGUUAUAUAUUUGUGUGGUUGUAAGAGAAAGAGAAAGAAAAGGAUAAGAAGAGUAGGUAGUAAGAGAGAAAGAGUUAUCAGAAAGGGAAGAGUAGAGAAGAGGAAAAGAGAAGAAAGAAGUAGAGGGAAAGAAGGAAGAAAGGCUUGGAGGAGAAAAGGAAAAGCUCAUCAUCACCAUUUUCUACUCAUCAUCCUCACCAACUUCAUCUUAUUCUUCUACUAGGUGAGUUUUUAGAUAGAUUUAGCCUUUGGUGGAAAAUAACCUAUGUUUGGGGGUUAGGAUUUGUGUGAAUUUGUUAUGAACUUGUUGUGUUCAUAUUCCUCAUCCAUGCUAUGUGUUGAUAUCAUGUUGUUGUUGUUUAAAUUGUGAUACUUGGGUGUUUAAUUUUGAUGUGUUUAAUUUUGAUGUGUUUUAUUGUUGAAGAUAUGGAGGUUAAUCACAUGAAAUCAUAACAAUAUAAGUUAUUCAUGAAAUAUUCCCAUGAAUCAUGAGUUAACCAUGUUUUCUAUGAUUAUGGUGUUGUUGAAAUUGAACAUGGUUGUUGAGGUUGUUAAGAACAUGUGUUUAUGAGGUUGAGGAUUCCUUGAGUGUUGGUUGCUGAUGGUUUAAUUCUAUCUACUUUUUCAAAAGACAUUCUAAAGGCGGAAUUGAAUGCAGUACACUCAGAAUUUUAAGAAAGACAAAAUGAUUCGGCAUAUAUUCUUAAUCAAUUUAGAUGCCACUCAUCAAAACAAGGCCACCAAUAUAACAAAGUGUUUUUAAUAGGAAACAAAGAGAGUUUGGGGGUGGAGGGGGAAGUCGGUUAUGAUGAUCUUUACGACCAAGUCUUUGAGUUCUACCGUAGUAAAUACUGCGGAAAGGUGAUGAAGUUAGUAGUUAUAGGAGGAGGUAGUUUUAAAUACUAAAUCUAUUAAAGUUUCAUUCUUACCAAUUCAUCACGUUGUAUAUUUAAAAUUAUCAUAUUUAGUACAUAAUGAACAUAUAUAUUGUCCUUACUAAGCUUCUUGUAUACAGAGCCUAUUCAAAUUCUUCAAGGUUGGGUUGAAAGUUUUUUCAACUCUAUUAAAAAGUGUGACGUGAAAAAGUUUCGAAAACAAGUAUAUCCAACUGGGUUUCAAUGGUACCUCUAUCCCAUUCGGGUUCGACAGUGAGUUCAGGCAAAACAUAGAAAAAGAAUGCUUCCAAAAAAGCAUUCUAUUUGGAAAUUCGGUAUUUUAUACGAUUUAAAUGAUCCCACCGGUGAUGAUAUACUGAUAGUUUCAUGGACUUUGCCUUGUCUAUACGAGGUGUAUCAAUAUCACCCAGAGAUAUAUGGUUGUAAAAAAAUAGGAUUUUUUUUUGUGAUUGAGAAUGUAGGUUAAGUUUUGAUAUUGACAUAUUAAAAUUUAUAAUUUUUUUUUAAAUUAUCAAUUUGAUGAUUUUUUUUGAACCGUACGGUUUUAUAAAAAUCGGCUCCGACUAUUUGGUUCGAAUGGUUUUGGAAGGUUCAAUCCGUUUUUUUUUGUUUUACUCCGAUUUUGACCCAUUAACGAUUUUGAAAGGUUGACCAAACCAGAUUUAUCUCCGGUUCCUGGUCUAACCGUUUGAACCGGCUGAUUCGGUCUGGUUUUUAAAACACUGUCAAAAGGGAAAAUUUGAAUUUAAAAAUAAAAUAAAAUAUGUUUAAAUGCAUCUUUUUAAUAAUUUAAAAUAUUUUUCUUAUAUUUUUUUGUCUAUCACUCGUUGCUUAUCCCCUUUGAUUUUUCGUUUUUUCUUCUGUAAUAUCCCAUAUUCCCUUAGAUUCUCAAUUAGUUGUCAGUUGAGAUCAACUGAGUUCCGGUGUACUCUAUCUUUUGUUAGUUGUAUCAAUUGGAGCUCUUAUGUGCUCUAAAUGUUGUCAAUUGGGACCAAUAGAGUAAGCAGUGAACUCUGAAGAUGUUAAUUAUUAAUAAAAGAGACAAAUCAAUAUUAAUAAGUACAAGAGAGGACAUUUUUGGUAGCAUUAAUAAUUGGUCAAUUGGUACUGAAAGAUGAAAUAUCAAUUGAGAUAUUUUAUGUUACUACCUAAUAUUAUAAUAUAUAUAAAGUAUAUGUUAUAUAUUUGUGUGGUUGUAAGAGAAAGAGAAAGAAAAGGAUAAGAAGAGUAGGUAGUAAGAGAGAAAGAGUUAUCAGAAAGAAAGAAAAGAAGAAAGGGAAGAGUAGAGAAGAGGAAAAGAGAAGAAAGAAGUAGAGGGAAAGAAGGAAGAAAGGCUUGGAGGAGAAAAGGAAAAGCUCAUCAUCACCAUUUUCUACUCAUCAUCCUCACCAACUUCAUCUUAUUCUUCUACUAGGUUGAGGUGUCCUUGAGUGUUGGUUGCUGAUGGUUUAAUUCUAUCUACUUUUUCAAAAGACAUUCUAAAGGCAGAAUUGAAUGCAGUACACUCAGAAUUUUAUAAAAGACAAAAUGAUUCGGCAUAUAUUCUUAAUCAAUUUAGAUGCCACUCAUCAAAACAAGGCCACCAAUAUAACAAAGUGUUUUUAAUAGGAAACAAAGAGAGUUUGGGGGUGGAGGGGGAAGUCGGUUAUGAUGAUCUUUACGACCAAGUCUUUGAGUUCUACCGUAGUAAAUACUGCGGAAAGGUGAUGAAGUUAGUAGUUAUAAGAGGAGAGCCUAUUCAAAUUCUUCAAGGUUGGGUUGAAAGUUUUUUCAACUCUAUUAAAAAGUGUGACGUGAAAAAGUUUCGAAAACAAGUAUAUCCAACUGGGUUUCAAUGGUACCUCUAUCCCAUUCGGGUUCGACAGUGAGUUCAGGCAAAACAUAGAAAAAGAAUGCUUCUAAAAAAGCCUUCUAUUUGGAAAUUCGGUAUUUUAUACGAUUUAAAUGAUCCCACCGGUGAUGAUAUACUGAUAGUUUCAUGGACUUUCCCUUGUCUAUACGAGGUGUAUCAAUAUCACCCAGAGAUAUAUGGUUGUAAAAAAAUAGGAUUUUUUUUUGUGAUUGAGAAUGUAGGUUAAGUUUUGAUAUUGACAUAUUAAAAUUUAUAAUUUUUUUUUAAAUUAUCAAUUUGAUGAUUUUUUUUGAACCGUACGGUUUUAUAAAAAUCGGCUCCGACUAUUUGGUUCGAAUGGUUUUGGAAGGUUCAAUCCGUUUUUUUUUGUUUUACUCCGAUUUUGACCCAUUAACGAUUUUGAAAGGUUGACCAAACCAGAUUUAUCUCCGGUUCCUGGUCUAACCGGUUGAACCGGCUGAUUCGGUCUGGUUUUUAAAACACUGUCAAAAGGGAAAAUUUGAAUUUAAAAAUAAAAUAAAAUAUGUUUAAAUGCAUCUUUUUAAUAAUUUAAAAUAUUUUUCUUAUAUUUUUUUGUCUAUCACUCGUUGCUUAUCCCCUUUGAUUUUUCGUUUUUUCUUCUGUAAUAUCCCAUAUUCCCUUAGAUUCUCAAUUAGUUGUCAGUUGAGAUCAAUUGAGUUCCGGUGUACUCUAUCUUUUGUUAGUUGUAUCAAUUGGAGCUCUUAUGUGCUCUAAAUGUUGUCAAUUGGGACCAAUAGAGUAAGCAGUGAACUCUGAAGAUGUUAAUUAUUAAUAAAAGAGACAAAUCAAUAUUAAUAAGUACAAGAGAGGACAUUUUUGGUAGCAUUAAUAAUUGGUCAAUUGGUACUGAAAGAUGAAAUAUCAAUUGAGAUAUUUUAUGUUACUACCUAAUAUUAUAAUAUAUAUAAAGUAUAUGUUAUAUAUUUGUGUGGUUGUAAGAGAAAGAGAAAGAAAAGGAUAAGAAGAGUAGGUAGUAAGAGAGAAAGAGUUAUCAGAAAGAAAGAAAAGAAGAAAGGGAAGAGUAGAGAAGAGGAAAAGAGAAGAAAGAAGUAGAGGGAAAGAAGGAAGAAAGGCUUGGAGGAGAAAAGGAAAAGCUCAUCAUCACCAUUUUCUACUCAUCAUCCUCACCAACUUCAUCUUAUUCUGCUACUAGGUUGUUAAGAACAUGUGUUUAUGAGGUUGAGGAGUCCUUGAGUGUUGGUUGCCGAUGGUUUAAUUCUAUCUACUUUUUCAAAAGACAUUCUAAAGGCAGAAUUGAAUGCAGUACACUCAGAAUUUUAUAAAAGACAAAAUGAUUCGGCAUAUAUUCUUAAUCAAUUUAGAUGCCACUCAUCAAAACAAGGCCACCAAUAUAAGAAAGUGUUUUUAAUAGGAAACAAAGAGAGUUUGAGGGUAGAGGGGGAAGUCAGUUAUGAUGAUCUUUACGACCAAGUCUUUGAGUUCUACCGUAGUAAAUACUGUGGAAAGAUGAUGAAGUUAGUAGUUAUAGGAGGAGAGCCUAUUCAAAUUCUUCAAGGUUGGGUUGAAAGUUUUUUCAACUCUAUUAAAAAGUGUGACGUGAAAAAGUUUCGAAAACAAGUAUAUCCAACUGGGUUUCAAUGGUACCUUUAUCCAAUUCGGGUUCGACAGUGAGUUCUGGCAAAAAAUAGAAAAAGAAGGCUUCCAAAAAAGCAUUCUAUUUGGGAAUUUGGUAUUUUAUACGGUUUAAAUGAUCCCACCGGUGAUGAUAUACUGAUAGUUUCAUGGACUUUCCCUUGUCUAUACGAGGUGUAUCAAUAUCACCCAGAGAUAUAUGAUUGUAAAAGAAUAGGAUUUUUUUUGUGAUUGAGA